rnacentral:rRNA from 1 species
GGCUCAGAACGAACGCUGGCGGCGUGCCUAACACAUGCAAGUCGAACGUGAUUGGGGAGCUUGCUCCUCAUGAAAGUGGCGCACGGGUGAGUAACGCGUAGAUAAUCUACCUGAUGAUUUGGGAUAACACUUCGAAAGGGGUGCUCAUACCGAAUAAGCCCACGGAGUCCUUGGACACUGCGGGAAAAGGAGGGGACCUUCGGGCCUUCCGUCAUCAGAUGAGUCUGCGUACCAUUAGCUAGUUGGUAGGGUAAAGGCCUACCAAGGCGACGAUGGUUAGCUGGUCUGAGAGGAUGAUCAGCCACACUGGAACUGAGACACGGUCCAGACUCCUACGGGAGGCAGCAGUGGGGAAUUUUGCGCAAUGGGGGAAACCCUGACGCAGCAACGCCGCGUGAGUGAUGAAGGCCCUUGGGUCGUAAAGCUCUGACAGAGGGAAAGAAAUGUGGGUGGCUAAUAUCCAUUCCACUUGACGGUACCCUCAAAGGAAGCACCGGCUAACUCCGUGCCAGCAGCCGCGGUAAUACGGAGGGUGCGAGCGUUGUUCGGAUUUAUUGGGCGUAAAGCGCGUGUAGGCGGUUUUAUAAGUCUGAUGUGAAAGCCCUGGGCUCAACCUGGGAAGUGCAUUGGAUACUGUAAGACUUGAAUACGGGAGAGGGUAGUGGAAUUCCUGGUGUAGGAGUGAAAUCCGUAGAUAUCAGGAGGAACACCGGUGGCGAAGGCGGCUGCCUGGACCGAUAUUGACGCUGAGACGCGAAAGCGUGGGUAGCAAACAGGAUUAGAUACCCUGGUAGUCCACGCCGUAAACGAUGAGUACUAGGUGUUGCGGGUAUUGACCCCUGCAGUGCCGCAGCUAACGCAUUAAGUACUCCGCCUGGGGAGUACGGGUCGCAGACUAAAACU